AAACUCUUCUUCUCAUCAAGCUCUUCCCUACUUUGAUCUUCUUUUCUGACCCAGUGUUGGUGUGCUUCUGAAAAGGAAGGAGACACUGAGCUGCCAUGGGCUACAUCUAUAAAAGGUCUUCAGACAUGAACUGAAAAUUGCACCAUCAGUCCUCUGGUUUUCAAGGGUUUGGAUUUGGCUUAGAAUGUACACACUUGGUUUUCUUCAUGCUUAGGACUUUUAGCUCAGGUUGGAGCUAUACCA